UACCAGCUCUCCGAGUGGUGGGGAUGCUUAUUGGGCCUAAAGCAUUCGUAGCCUGCUUGACAAGUCCUCCGUUAAAUCCAACGAUUCAAUCGUUGGGCUGCGGGGGAUACUGUCCGGCUAGGGGGCGGGAGAGGCCGACGGUAUCCUCGGGGUAGGGGUGAAAUCCUAUAAUCCCGGGAGGACCACCAGUGGCGAAGGCUGUCGGCUAGAACGCGCUCGACGGUGAGGGAUGAAAGCUGGGGGAGCGAACCGGAUUAGAUACCCGGGUAGUCCCAGCUGUAAACGAUGCAGGCUAGGUGUUGGCGCGGCUACGUGCCGCUCCAGUGCCGCAGGGAAGCCGUUAAGCCUGCCGCCUGGGAAGUACGGCCGCAAGGCUUAAACUUAAGGAAUUGGCGGGGAGCACCACAAGGUGUGAAGCUUGCGGUUU
rnacentral:rRNA from 1 species